rnacentral:sRNA from 1 species
UCAAAAACCAAAAAAAAA